rnacentral:rRNA from 1 species
GAUGAACGCUGGCGGCGUGCUUAACACAUGCAAGUCGAACGAUGAAAACGGGAGCUUGCUCCUGCUGGAUUAGUGGCGAACGGGUGAGUAACACGUGAGCAAUCUGCCCCGAACUCUGGGAUAAGCGUUGGAAACGACGUCUAAUACCGGAUACGACGCGCGAAGGCAUCUUCUGCGCGUGGAAAGAACUUCGGUUCGGGAUGAGCUCGCGGCCUAUCAGCUAGUUGGUGAGGUAACGGCCCACCAAGGCGACGACGGGUAGCCGGCCUGAGAGGGUGACCGGCCACACUGGGACUGAGACACGGCCCAGACUCCUACGGGAGGCAGCAGUGGGGAAUAUUGCACAAUGGGCGCAAGCCUGAUGCAGCAACGCCGCGUGAGGGACGACGGUCUUCGGGUUGUAAACCUCUUUUAGUAGGGAAGAAGCGAAAGUGACGGUACCUGCAGAAAAAGCACCGGCUAACUACGUGCCAGCCGCCGCCGUAACAC